GAGCUGAAAUCUGCAGGACAGUAGCUCUCCAGGAGCAGGGUUGGAGACCACUGAUUUAAAUAGUGUUGCUUUAAACAUUUCUGAUGCAUGGCAACUUGGACAUUUUUAACAGGUACAGCCAAACACCAGUGUGAUCAAGAUGACUGUGACGACUACAAAAGCCUUUCUCUUCUGUUGAUGUGCUCCUGCUUUCUCUCCGUCCCCUGGCUUGGGCCUCUUCAAAACCCACAAAAUCAUCAGAGAACAAGACGAACACACAAGUAACGUCACAACGACCAAUCCCGUGCAAAACAACGUAAUCAUUUUAGGGUAAACCAGUGGAUGGACCACAGCCAGGUAUCGCUCCACACAGAAAAAGGCUUGAAAGAGCGGUCGACCCACCAUGAAUGUACUGCACAGGAAAAUACAGGUAAGAGUAAGAGCUUUCGUAUUAAGCAAAACACUCAAGAAAAAAGUACAGAGGGAAAUCGAACUAA